GUGCUUUCUGGGGUCCUUCAGCAGCAGUGCAAUGAGGAGCAUGCACAGGAGAGAUUCUAUUUUCCUUGGAUGGCUUUCUUGAGCCUUGGAAAUCUGGCUCACCAGGAAUUCUAGGCUUCUGUUGUCCCUUGCUUCCUAUCUACCAAAAGCACAAUGAUGCCUUUCUUUUUACUCACAUUUGAUGACAUCCAUAGUGAGAAACAGCAGUUCCACUGUCCAACACCAGGAAAUGUUCUGACUGUUUCACCGCUCCAGCUAAUACUUACAGAGAGAAUGUGAGUGGAAACUAUACGAGCUGCUAACGGGACAAGGCAUUUAAGAAUCAUCCGAGUUCUGCUCUUCUUGCUGGCUGGAGCUAAGAAUUCAAGAACAAACACCAGCAAAGAGAUUCAAUACAAAUAUCCAAUUUUGAGAUAAGGGAUGGAUAACCAUAGUGUGAGUUGAGCCACAGAAAUGUGGAUGAAUUCAAUAAAUAUUUGGAUGAUUGUUUAACAUUACUUCAUAAUUGAUGGGAAUAAAAAAGUAUAACAAAGAGAAGAAAUCAAGGCUGCAGCAUGACAAAAGGCAUGCCCUCAGAACUUUUAAUCUUUAUGAAACAUUUGAAGACCUCGAGAAAGGACAAUACCCUUGGUUCUAUACAGAUGCUGUCAUGAAUUCAUCUUAUAUCAGUUUCAUAAAUCUGAGAAAACAAACUAGAGAGAAGGCAACACAUAUUUCAUUUUAGCUGUGAGCAACUUCCAUUGUGAAUCAAGGAUUCAUUCAAAAUACAUCUGGUAUGAGGUUUUGCUUUUCACAGAAUGGCAACAUCUAACCUCAUCACACAGAAUCCAUGUAGUCAAAUACCAUUGAGGAUAGUUGUGUGGUCACUAUGUUGUAAUAUCAGACAAAGAUGACAGUGAAUCUGCAAAAGAAGAAAGCAUUCUGAGAACCACUGAUUCCAGAGCAGGUGAAGGUCUUCCUCUGUGACCCGAGGUGCAGUGCAGUGGCUCUAUCACAGCUCACUGCAGCCUCAACAUCCCUGGCUCAAGCAAUCUUCUCACAUCAAACCCCUGAGUACCUGGGACCCAGGCAUAAACCAC
rnacentral:lncRNA from 1 species